CAAAAGUUUCCGGAUUUGUAAAAGUAUCCGGAUUCCUUGUUUUUCAAGUAUACAGAUCCGCGAGGCGUUUACACUACACAGCCCGACACAGCGAUGGUCAAUAUAACGUAAAUAAUUUUAACCCUCUUAGUGAUGUUAUGCGAUGUUUUGACCCUGUUUGGCGAUUGAAUUUAAUAGCAAUACAUUUGAAAAACAUACACCGGAACAAAUUGAUUCAGAUUCUUUACGGAAAGCCGUUUACACGAGAGUUUUCUCCGGAUUCAAAUGUUUCCGGAUACAAAGUUUCUACUUUUUUUCCCGGAUUCAAAGUUUUCGGAUACGUCCUACAACCGAGAUGAUUUUCCACCGGAUUUGUCGCUGUAUGUGUAAACGCAUGUAUGAAUCCGAUGCCAAAACGUUUCGGUUUUGUCAUAAUCCGGAAUCUUUUGCUCUAGUGUAAACGGGG
rnacentral:lncRNA from 1 species